rnacentral:rRNA from 1 species
UAGAGUUUGAUCCUGGCUCAGGACGAACGCUGGCGGCGUGCCUAACACAUGCAAGUCGAGCGGGGGUACCGAGGAGCAAUCCGGAGUGCCCCAGCGGCGGACGGGUGAGUAACGCGUGAGCAACCUGCCUCUUACUGGGGGAUAACGCAGCGAAAGCUGCACUAAUACCGCAUGAGACCACGGCGCUGAUGGCGCAGGGGUCAAAGGAGAAAUCCGGUGGGAGAUGGGCUCGCGUCCGAUUAGGUAGUUGGUGAGGUAACGGCCCACCAAGCCAAAGAUCGGUAGCCGGCCUGAGAGGGUGAACGGCCACAUUGGAACUGAGAGACGGUCCAAACUCCUACGGGAGGCAGCAGUGGGGAAUAUUGGGCAAUGGGGGAAACCCUGACCCAGCAACGCCGCGUGAGGGAAGAAGGUUUUCGGAUUGUAAACCUCUGUUCUUGGUGAAGAGAAGAAGACGGUAGCCAAGGAGGAAGCCCCGGCUAACUACGUGCCAGCAGCCGCGGUAAUACGUAGGGGGCGAGCGUUGUCCGGAAUGAUUGGGCGUAAAGGGCGCGUAGGCGGCCCUGCAAGUCAGUAGUGGAAGUCCAUUUUUCAAGGGUGGAAGUGCUAUUGAAACUGCGGGGCUUGAGUAUGGGAGAGGUCAUCGGAAUUCCCGGUGUAGCGGUGAAAUGCGUAGAGAUCGGGAGGAACACCAGUGGCGAAGGCGGGUGACUGGACCAUAACUGACGCUGAGGCGCGAAAGUGUGGGGAGCAAACAGGAUUAGAUACCCUGGUAGUCCACACGGUAAACGAUGAAUGCCAGGUGCAGGGGGUAUCGACCCCUUCUGUGCCGGAGUUAACACAAUGAGCAUUCCGCCUGGGGAGUACGGUCGCAAGAUUAAAACUCAAAGGAAUUGACGGGGGCCCGCACAAGCAGCGGAGCAUGUGGUUUAAUUCGAAGCAACGCGAAGAACCUUACCAGGUCUUGACAUCCAGUAAAACCUGCGGAGACGCAGUGUGCCUUCGGGCGUACUGAGACAGGUGGUGCAUGGUUGUCGUCAGCUCGUGUCGUGAGAUGUUGGGUUAAGUCCCGCAACGAGCGCAACCCUUGCCGAUAAUUACUAACGGGAGAGCCGAGGACUUUAUCGGGACCGCCGGGGACAACUCGGAGGAAGGUGGGGACGACGUCAAAUCAUCAUGCCCCUUAUGACCUGGGCUACACACGUGCUACAAUGGCUGAGACAAAGAGAUGCGAAGGCGCAAGCCGGAGCGGAUCUCAAAAAAACGGCCACAGUUCAGAUUGUGGGCUGCAACCCGCCCGCAUGAAGCAGGAGUUGCUAGUAAUCGCGAAUCAGCAUGUCGCGGUGAAUACGUUCCCGGGCCUUGUACACACCGCCCGUCACACCAUGGGAGUUGGGAGCACCCGAAGGCAGAGGGGUAACCGCAAGGAGCCAUCUGACGAAGGUGAGACCAAUGACUGGGGUGAAGUCGUAACAAGGUAGCCGUAUCGGAAGGUGCGGCUGGAUCACCUCCUU